CUUCCUGUCCUUUCUGUGUGGCAGAGGUGACUGUGCUCUGAAGAUGAGAGCCGCUAUCCAGAAGUGAGUUCCAGAUAAAGUAAAAUUCCAGAUGGAAACCAGAGACAGCCUGUUUUGAUGAUGUAGCCUUUGCUGGCAAUCCAGAAGCACGAACACGUGGGGAGAGCUGCUGUUAGAAAGUCUCCCUUGAAAUGCAAAUGAUGGCUGAUGAUACAAGUUCUGAAGUGCAAGGAGAAUGCAUCUGAUGGAGAUGCAUGGAGAGGUAAAGAGAAGAAGAAGGAAGAAGAGGGAGGGUGAACAUGAAAGCACUCCUUUGUAAAUGUAUUUUCUUAGCAGUUUGGAAGACAAAAUUAGACCACAGUAUCAUUAAAAACCAAGACAAACAGCUGUAAA
rnacentral:lncRNA from 1 species